rnacentral:sRNA from 1 species
AUUAUGAUAACUUUAGGUAUCCUACUAUAUUAUUUAGGAAGUACAUUUUAAAUGUAACCUUAACUUUUGUAAUUAAUUACAUGACAAUGCCAUUAGAAAAGUUUAAUAAAAAAAAUCCUUUAAUGACGUCAUUAAGGUUACCAAAAUCAUUUAACGACAAUAUUAAUCUCUUAAUUAUAGGGUUUAUUGGAUCUACAGACGGGUUAGCAAAAUAUACUGAAUAUUCAAAUAUCUAUCUGUUAGCAAAUUAUAAACAAAUAAGUUCGUAAAAGAAUUUCAUAUUUUAUAUACGAAAUCAACUAAAUCUUAAUCACAUAAAAAUUAGCACAAAAAAAAAGUAUUCAACCAUUAAAAAAUUAUCAAAUCUCUGUGUUAUAUAAGUUUUGAUAGUAUAUUCGAAUAAAGUGUAAUAUACCUUUUCAAUUUGUAUUCUUUAACUAAUUUAAGCUAACUAAUAUAUUUUCUAAUCUUAUACCUAUCAAAACCGACUAUCGUUUCUUAUCUCUAUAGUAUUUUUGCAAGACUUUUUUGGUAGAUUUGGGUAAAAGUGCAUUCGGGUCAUAUGGUACAUUCUCUAUUAAAUAAAUAUGGUGCACUCAUAUGUUAUUAGCUAAAAUGUUUAGAUUAUAAUUCAGAGUCAUAUCAUAAAUAAAAUUAAUAUUAAUCAAAUAAAUGGCUUUUUGGCAAGACGGAUUUGGAGGGACGGGUUUUUGAAUCAACAUUAAUAAAAAAGUAAAAUAUAAUUAAUCCACCAUUUCAGUACGAGUUAAAUCUUUAAUUUAUUAUUUUUUAAGACCACUAAUAUUAAACAUAUCAAAUCAUCCUAAUUUAGAAAAAAUUAU